GCGGGAUGGAGCAGCCCGGUAGCUCGUCAGGCUCAUAACCUGAAGGUCGUAGGUUCAAAUCCUACUCCCGCAACCA
rnacentral:tRNA from 3 species